rnacentral:rRNA from 1 species
UACGUAGGGGCAAGCGUUGUCCGGAAUCACUGGGCGUAAAGGGCGCGUAGGCGGUCUUUUAAGUCGGGGGUGAAAGCCUGUGGCUCAACCACAGAAUUGCCUUCGAUACUGGGAGACUUGAGACCGGAAGAGGACAGCGGAACUGCGAGUGUAGAGGUGAAAUUCGUAGAUAUUCGCAAGAACACCAGUGGCGAAGGCGGCUGUCUGGUCCGGUUCUGACGCUGAGGCGCGAAAGCGUGGGGAGCAAACAGG